AUGACCUGCUCCUCUCCAGGGUCAGUCUGUUCUCUCCUUACGUUCAGGAUGUGUUUGACCGAGUCCAGCAGGCCAAACACCUGGGCCAGGUUACUCAACACUGCCACCUCUACCAGACAGGAAUCUGAGAUCCAUCAGUGGGCAACCAAUCACAUGGUGCCAGUGUGCCAGAUCCCACCUGCGUCCUGCAGGGCUGCCUGCUCGCUGCAUUGCUGCACUCCUCCUCUCAGCAUCUCCAGCAGCUCUGUCCUGAUGUUGUCUACCACCAUGCCCAUCAGGCCCAACUCAGCUAUGCCUUUCCAGAAGUUCAACAUCUCCUUUGGGGGAACAUAAAGGACACAGCUAUGUUCAAAGUUCAAGUUCAAAGUAGUUUAUAUGCCAUUUCAGUCACACUUAAUGACACGGGUGUGAAAGAGGUGAGCAAGAAUUCAUCCAGUUGCAUACCAAGUAAACCUAUAGUCAAAUACAUGUGUCAAUACUUUCAAAUACUUGAUAUGUGGUUGGUUUAGCUUGACCAGCAUGCAGGGAGAGCGGAGUUUGCACUUUUGGCAUUAUUCCAUUGGGUCCAUUUUACCUGGCGAGCUAAACCAAUCGCACCCAACUGCAAGUAUUUGAUAAUGUAUCCGACCCAGGUAUGAAGCUUAGAUUAAUACAAGACUAAUGACCAGACAACUCUUUGAUAUCAGAGAUGUGUGUAACUACAGUAGAAAUUCACUAGUAGGAGCUGUUUGGUUGAAGAUCUCACCUGAUACUGUAUGUCGCCUGGUUUCCUUAUUCUCUGUCUCCAUGGUUACAGACCCUGAACUCCACUCCAUUGUUCCGGACAGAACCUCUGACCUCUCCUCUGUUGUCAUGGCAACCUGGCCACCAUUACCUAUCACCACCUGGGCUACAUGUCCAACAAGGGAGAGACAUGGUCAGCUACACUACUUACAAUAUUCAAUACACAGAAUAACACGGAUGGUUCAGGUCCUGGAUGCUUAUUGACUGAUACUGUAUUCCCAACUUGUGUACAUAUCCC
rnacentral:lncRNA from 8 species